rnacentral:rRNA from 1 species
AGUUUGAUCCUGGCUCAGGACGAACGCUGGCGGCGUGCCUAACACAUGCAAGUCGAACGGACGAGGAGGAGCUUGCUUCUCCAAGUCAGUGGCGGACGGGUGAGUAACGCGUGAGUAACCUGCCCUUCAGAGGGGGAUAACGUCUGGAAACGGACGCUAAUACCGCAUAACAUAUUCCCAUCGCAUGGUGGAGAUAUCAAAGGAGCAAUCCGCUGAAGGAUGGACUCGCGUCCGAUUAGAUAGUUGGCGGGGUAACGGCCCACCAAGUCGACGAUCGGUAGCCGGACUGAGAGGUUGAACGGCCACAUUGGGACUGAGACACGGCCCAGACUCCUACGGGAGGCAGCAGUGGGGGAUAUUGCACAAUGGGCGAAAGCCUGAUGCAGCAACGCCGCGUGAGGGAAGACGGUUUUCGGAUUGUAAACCUCUGUUCUAAGUGACGAACAAAUGACGGUAGCUUAGGAGAAAGCCCCGGCUAACUACGUGCCAGCAGCCGCGGUAAUACGUAGGGGGCAAGCGUUGUCCGGAAUUACUGGGUGUAAAGGGAGCGCAGGCGGAGAAGCAAGUCAGUGGUGAAAACGAUGGGCUUAACUCAUCGACUGCCAUUGAAACUGUUUCCCUUGAGUGAAGUAGAGGCAGGCGGAAUUCCGAGUGUAGCGGUGAAAUGCGUAGAUAUUCGGAGGAACACCAGUGGCGAAGGCGGCCUGCUGGGCUUUAACUGACGCUGAGGCUCGAAAGUGUGGGGAGCAAACAGGAUUAGAUACCCUGGUAGUCCACACUGUAAACGAUGAUUGCUAGGUGUGGGGGGUCUGACCCCUUCCGUGCCGGAGUUAACGCAAUAAGCAAUCCACCUGGGGAGUACGGCCGCAAGGUUGAAACUCAAAGGAAUUGACGGGGGCCCGCACAAGCAGUGGAUUAUGUGGUUUAAUUCGACGCAACGCGAAGAACCUUACCAGGUCUUGACAUCCAACGAAUCCUUAAGAGAUUAGGGAGUGCCUUUCGGGGAACGUUGAGACAGGUGGUGCAUGGUUGUCGUCAGCUCGUGUCGUGAGAUGUUGGGUUAAGUCCCGCAACGAGCGCAACCCUUAUUAUUAGUUGCUACAUUCAGUUGAGCACUCUAAUGAGACUGCCGUUGACAAAACGGAGGAAGGUGGGGAUGACGUCAAAUCAUCAUGCCCCUUAUGACCUGGGCUACACACGUAAUACAAUGGCGAUCAACAGAGGGAAGCAAGACCGCGAGGUGGAGCAAACCCCUAAAAGUCGUCUCAGUUCGGAUUGCAGGCUGCAACUCGCCUGCAUGAAGUCGGAAUUGCUAGUAAUCGCGGAUCAGCAUGCCGCGGUGAAUAAGUUCCCGGGCCUUGCACUCACCGCCCGUCA